GACGAACGCUGGCGGCGUGCUUAACACAUGCAAGUCGAACGGAAAGGCCCUGCUUUUGUGGGGUGCUCGAGUGGCGAACGGGUGAGUAACACGUGAGUAACCUGCCCUUGACUUUGGGAUAACUUCAGGAAACUGGGGCUAAUACCGGAUAGGAGCUCCUGCUGCAUGGUGGGGGUUGGAAAGUUUCGGCGGUUGGGGAUGGACUCGCGGCUUAUCAGCUUGUUGGUGGGGUAGUGGCUUACCAAGGCUUUGACGGGUAGCCGGCAUGAGAGGGUGACCGGCGACAUUGGGACUAAGGGAGGGACCAGAAUGGUACGGGAGGCAGUAGGGGGGAAUAUGGCACAAUGGGCGGAAGCGUGAUGCAGCAACGCCGGGUGCGGGAUGACGGCCUUCGGGUUGAAAACCGCUGUCGCCUGUGACGAAGAGUGAGUGACGAUAAUGGGUAAAGAAGCACCGGCUAACUACGUG
rnacentral:rRNA from 1 species